rnacentral:rRNA from 1 species
GACGUAGGGUGCAAGCGUUAUCCGGAUUUACUGGGUUUAAAGGGUGCGUAGGUGGAUAAUUAAGUCAGUGGUGAAAUCUUCAGGCUUAACCUGGAAACUGCCAUUGAUACUAUUUAUCUUGAAUACUUUGGAGGUAAGCGGAAUAUGUCAUGUAGCGGUGAAAUGCUUAGAUAUGACAUAGAACACCAAUUGCGAAGGCAGCUUACUACACAGUAAUUGACACUGAGGCACGAAAGCGUGGGGAUCAAACAGG